AUUGAACGCUGGCGGCAUGCCUAACACAUGCAAGUCGGGCGAGAGGCGGACGGGUGAGUAAUGUAUUGGGACUGCCUGAUGUCGGGGUCUAACUACUGGAACCGUUAGCUAAUACCGCAUACCACCAGUUAACCCAUAUGGGAUUAGCUAGUAGGUAAGGUAACGGCUUACCUAGGCGACGAUCCAUAGCUGGUCUGAGAGGAUUAGCAGCCACACGGGGACGGAGACACGGCCCAGACUCCUACGGAGGCAGCAGUGGGGAAUAUUGCGCAAUGGGCGAAAGCCUGAUGCAGCAAUGCCGCGUGUAUGAAGAAGGCCCUAGGGUUGUAAAGUUCUUUCAGUCGGGAGGCGGUACCGAAAGAAGAAGCAACGGCUAACUCCGUGCCAGCAGCCGCGGUAAUUC
rnacentral:rRNA from 1 species